CCGGGUUGUUGACCAUGAAGCUACCCGACCCGAAUUAAUUGGAAUAUAACCGCUCAACAUCAAUUGACUUCACAUAAAUUAACUGAACCAAAAAAAAAAAAAAAAUUAGGAACUAAGAAUUCACCAGUCAAAACAAUACCUUUAACAUCGUUUCUCCUGGCAGCCUCCGUGAACUUCUCCUUGAAGCCAUGAAUUACUACAACACAAUCAAAUUUCACAGUUUAGUUUCAUCUAUCCAAAUCCAGCGCAUACGCACACUCGCCAGCAACGGAGCGACGAUGGUCGAGACCUGCUACGGGUGGCGACCAAAAGCGAGAUUUUCUUCUUUACACGGUCGUCGGUCGAGUCCGGCUAACGGAGAUUGAAACCGGAAAAAUUAAACUACGAAUCAUCAUGAUGUUCUUCAAUGGCACGAGCUUCAGAUUUAAUUUCAAUUCAGCAAGGGUCAGAUUACCGGAAAGGCCUAAGCAUCUUCAAUUCAGCAAUGGAAGCUAGACGAAGGAGAUAUAUAAGACUCUGUAUGUUCUUCCACCAGAUCAGAUAGAAGAACACCAACGUGAUUGGUCUUCAGAUCUGAAUA